UUCCCCAGGGAGUGAUUGGGCAGGUGCUCUGGGCCCCUCCCUGGCUUAAAUAUCAUUCGUUGCCUUACAAGUCUAUUAUGUGCAAUACUCCUCCUCAGUUUUCCCCCAUUGGUUCUUGUAAUGUAUCUUAACCUAUGUUCCACCCCCUUUAUAAGUUACUGUCACUGUCCCUCCUGGCCUUUGCUCCCUGGACUCCCCCAGGAGACAAUAAACCUUCUCUGGACUGCAUCCCGGAGUAAAGGUCCUCUUUUCCUUUGCUUCCUUCGCCCAAAGCUGCACCUCGAACGCUGCUCCAGCCUGCCGAAGGUGCUGCCUGGACGCCCCUGGCUCGCCUAGGCAGUGCCCCCCGCUGCUAGCCGCUGCUUGUGCUCUCCAGCUAGCCGGCGCUCCCUCCUCCCCGCCGUGCGGGGAGUAGAGGGUCUUCAAAGCAGCAGCGCAGCAACUUUGUUUAUCCUGUAGAGAGGAAGUCUCAUCUCAGUGAAACUUGAGUAAUUUUAAGGAGGAGGUCUCCAAACUUUGUCUCCAAAAUUCCUUCUUCAGCAAAGCAGGGAUAAUAAGACAUGGAUGGCUGGCUGGUGCAGCUUGAGAAGUGUGUUAGCUUUCAGCGUGCUUGGCAGGACUUAAAUGGGAAUGAACAGCAUCAGAAGGGGAAUUUUGCACAACUUGGAAACUCUUCUUGACGAGAAGAAAAAGGUUAAUUCCAGCCCUGCCUCAUUAAUCAGAUCUGCCUAGAGUUAAGGAAAUGUCACCUAAGUAUGUUUUGCUUUCUGCUGUGUGCUGCUGCUGAAGAUCCUGACUUGCAAAACAGAAAUAACUGGAUUUGUGCUCAAAGGCAAAGCAAUGAGUUGGAACGUUCUUUAUGAGUAACUUUGUGGGGACUGCCCUGGGCAUCUCCAUGUGGUAUCUGUCACCACUAAUGGCGGCUGCAGACUCCAGAUUGUUUCACCAGGCGCAUACAAGAAUUGCUCUGUGUGUGUCUUAUAUACCACGGGUCAUGCACACACCCUCUGCAUUAUGGCAGGGAGCAAUAGCCUGGAAUUAGGGAAUUAUCCAGGGGGACCUCUGUCCUGUCUGCACUGGUAAUUGCUGUUGUAUUGUUAUGGGCUUGGUUCUGUUAGUUUUGGGAAAAGAGGGUGUUUGUUGUGGAUGGGGAGGAGGUCCAGGAUUUGGUGGGGGCAAAUGGGCAAACCAGGGCAAAGUGUGAUUGAACAAAGACACCAACCAAUCAUUCGACACCCUGAGGAAACGAUUGGCCCAGAAUGAAUCCCAUUAAGGGCCAAUCAAAGCCCUGAAAUUCCACCAAUCAGGGCAAGGAUCCAAAUCCCACCAAUCCUGGGCCAAAGGGUGUUAUAAAGGGAGGGGUUUUGAGUUGGGCUGGGUUCUUUUCUGUUCUACGAGUAGAGAGAGCUGCUUGUGAGGGAGAGAACCCAGCGUGUUCUGUACACGUUGUCAUUUUGAGCUGUUGUGAGGGGGUCCAAGCUUAUCGUGGACACUCUGUUCUUUCUGGUUAAUUUUUUUAAAUAAACGAGAGCCUUUCUCAUCCCUUUCUGAAAUCAGGCCUUGUUCGCUCAUAACAGUAUCCUUUGAAAGUCCAAACUAAAUCCAUUUCUUAAUGUGCUGCCCCAAGACUGAGAUUAGCUUUUCCCAGAUGAGGGAAUGAACCACACUCUGACUGUUGCUUUGGCUGCAUUCUGGGAAUGUUCUCUGACUCUGCAAGGAAAAGCUGUCCAAGAAACUGUUCCCCUGGAAGUCCAUGGCCAACCCGCAGUGCAACUUUCUGUAACUGUUCUGUCACCUAAUGAACCUUGAGCAAAGCAGACAUUAACCACUAAACCCGGGUUUUGGUAAGCUCUGCUGUAACAACAGUAUGGGAAAUCAUAUUCGUGCAUGAAUACCCAAAUAAAGCAGAAUAGGAUCAUCAUAACCUUAUGUAAGGUCUGUGAACACAAACACUUAAAUUCCUCAAUUUAGCUCCUGCUUACGCUUCACUGAAAGCCCCAGCAGUCCCUGGGCUUGGAUUUAUUCUUGUCAGGUCCUUGUUACUAUUCUUGGAAAAAACAUUUGUCUUUCUAAUCUUAUACUAAAGAAAUUUAGAUGUUUUAUGUAAAAUCCUUACAAGGCUGUUGAUUUUUUCUAUACAAAAUUGUGAUAGUAUUCUACAAGCAUAGGCUUAUGAAAUUCAGUAGUCAAAAGUGGUGAAACAAAUUCCAGGAGACUGAUAUGUCCAAGAAAUGGAGAAUGUUAAUGUUACAAGGAGUUCUGAUGAAAAUCAAAAAGAAAAGAAGAAAACGGCUGCAGUCUGUGUCCUUUCCAUUUUGCAAUAAUUAAAAUGAAUGAGGAUUAAAUGAAAAUCAGGGCAGGGUGGGCUUGUCUGCUGUCAAGUUAAAAAAAAAAAAAGGGAAGGGUCACUCAUCUGCAUGACCAGAACUUUUGCCAGUGGUUUAUUAUGUUCAAACAUUGAGCAUCAUGUUUUGAGCUCAUUGGAAAUGUGGUUCUAAAGAAGAUUUCAGUACUCUAAAAUAUGUGUGAUGUGCCUGGUAUUGUGUAGGAAAUCUAUGUUUAUACCAAAUUUCCUUAGAAAUCCAAAGAAACAUUUAUGGCAUAGAAUUCCUACUGGGUUCUUGCGGUUCAGGAAAAGAAUAGAAAUGUUUAACUGAAUUUCAUCUCUGAUACCAUUAUUUUUGGCAAAUACAUAAAUAGUGAUUCCUGAAGGCAACACCUUCUCUUACUUUUCCUGGCUUCUCUUCCUUGAGAAUCAAAUAUUGUUAAAGAAUUGGAAUACUCUACUGCUAUAGAUAUGGUUUGGCCAAAUCCCAGUGGAAUAAGGCAUCUUUUUAGCAAAGAGAGGAAGAAAGAGAUAUUAAUGUAUGUACUGCUAAAAGCAAUGCCUAGUGGUUUGGAUAAAGAAAAGUUAGAGCCAUUAAUAGCUAAGGGAGCACCUGUAAUUUAGGCUUGAAAAGGUCAUAAACCAGAGGAAAGUUAUUUGGAAGCAAACAAACAAAUCUGGUGACAGAAUAUGUGAGAAGUAUUUUUAACUGCUUAUGAUUCAGCUGAGCAGAAUAGUUGUCUAAUCUCUCCCACUGCCACAACUAAAGAUUUAGAAGAUUUUGCAGAAACCUUUUCUGAGUCUUUAAAGACAUCCAAUUUAGUGAAUGGCAAAGUAUUUGUGGCGGGAGAAAAAGGAAUAAUUUCAGCCAAGUUUCCCAAAUCGUGGUUAUUGGUGUAAAGACAUCAGGGCAGGACAGUUGGGACAGAUCUUGCUUGCCCCCAUCACCCCAACCUCUUCAUUCAAGGCCUCUGGAAGUUUAAUGAAAACAAACUUGCUUGUCAGAUGUAAUCAUGGAAUGGAUGGGUUGGGAGGAACCUUAAAGUUUAUCUUCUUCCAUCCACUGCCAUGGGCAGGGACACCUUCUACUAUCCCAGACUGCUCAGAGCUCCAUCCAUCCUGGCUUUGGACACUGCCAGGGAUCCAGGAGCAGCCACAGCAGAGAAGAUUACAACUGGACACAGAAGAAAACUUGUCACAAUGAGAGCUUCUUGGAGCAGGACCCAGACAGCUCAGGCAAAUCUCCAUCCACAGAGUUUUUCAAAACUUGUCUGAACAAGGCCCUGAAUAAUACCAUUCGGCUUUGAAGCUGCCUCUGCUUUGAAUGGGAGUUUGGACCAGAUGAUUUCUGGAGCCUUCUUACAGCAUAAAUUUUCCUGUGGUUCUAAGUGAGCAACUUCAGUGACUCCAUGGGCUUUGAUUUCAAAGGGGAUCUUAGCAUUUAGAGGCUGGUUUGAUCCUUCUCUCUCUCAGCAGAAACACAACCAAGUUUAUGGCAAAUCUUCUCAUUUUAAUUGUGAGUUGCAUCUAUCCCAGCAUGGUCGAUGCCGUUAAAUCUAAUGAGUACAAUUUUACUGGGGAGUUUUAUGAGACUAUGGCAAAUGGGAUUUUUUUUCAAAUGCCCUCUAGAAAUCUCACGUUUAUUUCCAUCAUGGUGCAGUUUAUAAAAAGUGACAGGCAGCGAAAAACAAAUCAGCUUUGCACUUAUUUUUCAGUGCAUCAUUCAGGCUAAUGAGCUAUUUAGACUUAUUGGUAGGAUAGUUUUGUUAUCAUCAUUCAUAUUUUUGAAAUCUCCAAUAAGCUUUUAUCCAGGACUGCUUUUUCUCUUCCCUUUGACUUUAAAGCUGUCUUUGCCUCAGUCAGUGUUGUGUUGGUGGUGGUUUGGCAGCUUCAGGCAUCCCUAAUAUUUUCUCCAUUUUUUUUUCAGAAAUGUCAGAAAAGAUUUAUUUAUUUACUUUGAAGAUAUUAGGAAUCUCAGUCUUCCCUUAAAUUCUUUAUUUUACUUCUCCAUAGAUGGGUUUUCUUCUUGUAUGCCAGCUUGUAAUACCGCUAAUAUACUGUUCAGUUUCCUCUGACAUUAUUAUGUCAUUGCUACUGUGUUUUGCUAUGAUAGAGCUCCAGGCAACCCCAGUAAUGCAUUUUUGGGUAGUUUGUUUUCUUUUUUAUACUGACAGUCUUAAAAUGUGGACUCAAUAUACCAGUAGGUGCAAUGCCUCAUGGAUGCUUACACGAGUUACUCCACAAUAUGAGAGUAAUAUUCCUUUUUAUGUCUUGUCACAGCUUGCAUUUCUAAUUAAUAUUCUGCUAUAUGCCUGUAAAUUAUUCCAGUUCAGUGUUCAAAUACGAGUCAUUCCUUGUAGUUAAUUUUGAAUAAUUAUAUAUAAUUUAAAUAACUUGGGGUGGAAAAAAAAAGAGAGUUCUAUCAAUAAAUGAGACCAGACACAAUGGCCUAAAAAUA